rnacentral:rRNA from 1 species
GACGAACGCUGGCGGCGUGCUUAACACAUGCAAGUCGUACGGUAAGGCCCUUUCGGGGGUACACGAGUGGCGAGCGGGUGAGUAACACGUGAGUAACCUGCCCACAACUUUGGGAUAACGCUAGGAAACUGGUGCUAAUACUGGAUAUGUGCUCCUGCUGCAUGGUGGGGGUUGGAAAGCUCCGGCGGUUGUGGAUGGACUCGCGGCCUAUCAGCUUGUUGGUGGGGUAGUGGCCUACCAAGGCGGCGACGGGUAGCCGGCCUGAGAGGGUGACCGGCCACAUUGGGACUGAGAUACGGCCCAGACUCCUACGGGAGGCAGCGGUGGGGAAUAUUGCACAAUGGGCGCAAGCCUGAUGCAGCAACGCCGCGUGCGGGAUGACGGCCUUCGGGUUGUAAACCGCUUUCAGCAGGGACGAAGCUUUUUGUGACGGUACCUGCAGAAGAAGCACCGGCUAACUACGUG